AAAGUACUCCCUCCGUCCCAAAUUCUUGUCUUAGAUUUGUCUAGAUACAGAUGUAUCAAGUCACAUUUUAGUAUUAGAUACAUCUGUAUCUAGACAAAUCUAAGACAAGAAAUUUGGGACAGAGGGAGUAGUUG
rnacentral:pre_miRNA from 1 species